CAGCAGUCGCCGCGGUAAUACAGAGGGUGCGAGCGUUAAUCGGAUUUACUGGGCGUAAAGCGUGCGUAGGCGGCUUCUUAAGUCGGAUGUGAAAUCCCUGAGCUUAACUUAGGAAUUGCAUUCGAUACUGGGAAGCUAGAGUAUGGGAGAGGAUGGUAGAAUUCCAGGUGUAGCGGUGAAAUGCGUAGAGAUCUGGAGGAAUACCGAUGGCGAAGGCAGCCAUCUGGCCUAAUACUGACGCUGAGGUACGAAAGCAUGGGGAGCAAACAGGAUUAGAUACCCCAGUAGUCCCUGUCCUUAUACA
rnacentral:rRNA from 1 species